UUUAAACUGAAUUUAGUUUCUGUUGGCGCAAAUGACCCCAGGCAGGAGUGCUUCGAAUGGGACCAACUCAGGAGAAUCGGUUGAAAGGGUUUCUCCAGUUGGUGAGCUGAGCCCUUAAGACAGAGUGAGGCCAGUUGACAAUUAUAAUCAUGACCUAGGAGCCCAGGGUGCAUAUAUCAGAUGAGGAAACUGAGGCUAACAGAGAGCAACAAGUUCAAAACUGCACUGGAAGUGGAAGAGAUGGCAUCUGAGCUCCUGUCUGUACAAUUCUAAAGCCUGUGUUAUUAACCACAGAUCACUUCUCUCUAGGGAGGCUCAGAUGUAAUUCGUGCUCUGGGUCCCAUAGGUUGAAAAAUCCCCAGCGUGCGGGUUAUCUGCAACCAGCAGGAGCAGCUCCCAAGGCAUCAGAUCUCCCCCUCCUUACCAAGCCCAGCCCAUGUUUUUGGCCCCUUUCCAGCUCUUCCUCCCCUCACCAUUUAUGAGCUCUUGUUCUAGCUUCAUUGGAAUCAUUCCCCUUGAAUCACCAUGUAUGGACACUCCAUACAUGUUGAUUAUACUGAUUUAAACCAUCAGCCAGUUCAUUCCUUCAUCCAUAGAAUAGCCACUCAGGACUAUAGGAAAGGCAAUGAUUUCAUUGGGACUUAUGUCCCUAUGAAUAAUUAGAAUUGCC